CGCUGGCGGCAUGCCUAAUACAUGCAAGUCGAGCGAAUGAUGAAGAAGCUUGCUUCUUCUGAUUAGCGGCGGACGGGUGAGUAACACGUGGGCAACCUACCCUAUAGAUUGGGAUAACACAGGGAAACCUGUGCUAAUACCGAAUAAUACAUUUUCUUUCAUGAGAAGAUGUUGAAAGAUGGUUUCGGCUAUCACUAUAGGAUGGGCCCGCGGCGCAUUAGCUAGUUGGUGAGGUAAUGGCUCACCAAGGCAACGAUGCGUAGCCGACCUGAGAGGGUGAUCGGCCACACUGGGACUGAGACACGGCCCAGACUCCUACGGGAGGCAGCAGUAGGGAAUCUUCCACAAUGGGCGAAAGCCUGAUGGAGCAAUGCCGCGUGAGUGAUGAAGGAUUUCGGUUCGUAAAACUCUGUUGUAAGGGAAGAACAAGUAGCGUAGUAACUGGUGUUACCUUGACGGUACCUUAUUAGAAAGCCACGGCUAACUACGUGCCAGCCGCAGC
rnacentral:rRNA from 1 species